GGUGAGAUGGCCGAGUUGGUAAGCACCCCUGAACAACCACCGUCAAUCAACUUCGUGGCUAACAUCUGCAAAAGGUUAUGGCGCCAGGUUAAGGUCCUGGUGGAGCAAUCCUCAUGGGUUCGAAUCCCAUUCUCAUCA
rnacentral:tRNA from 1 species